GCUUAACACAUGCAAGUCGAACGAGAAUCUGCGGAUCGAGGAUUCGUCCAAGUGAAGUAGAGGACAGUGGCGGACGGGUGAGUAACGCGUGAGGAACCUGCCUUUCAGAGGGGGACAACAGUUGGAAACGACUGCUAAUACCGCAUGACACAUUGGGGUCGCAUGGCCCUGAUGUCAAAGAUUUAUCGCUGAAAGAUGGCCUCGCGUCUGAUUAGCUAGUUGGUGAGGUAACGGCCCACCAAGGCGACGAUCAGUAGCCGGACUGAGAGGUUGACCGGCCACAUUGGGACUGAGAUACGGCCCAGACUCCUACGGGAGGCAGCAGUGGGGAAUAUUGGGCAAUGGGCGCAAGCCUGACCCAGCAACGCCGCGUGAAGGAAGAAGGCUUUCGGGUUGUAAACUUCUUUUGUCAGGGACGAGUAGAAGACGGUACCUGACGAAUAAGCCACGGCUAACUACGUGCCAGCAGCCGCGGUAAUACGUAGGUGGCAAGCGUUGUCCGGAUUUACUGGGUGUAAAGGGCGUGUAGCCGGGAAGGCAAGUCAGAUGUGAAAUCCACGGGCUCAACUCGUGAACUGCAUUUGAAACUGUUUUUCUUGAGUAUCGGAGAGGCAAUCGGAAUUCCUAGUGUAGCGGUGAAAUGCGUAGAUAUUAGGAGGAACACCAGUGGCGAAGGCGGAUUGCUGG
rnacentral:rRNA from 1 species